rnacentral:rRNA from 1 species
UGAGGAAUAUUGGUCAAUGGGCGAAGGCCUGAACCAGCCAAGUAGCGUGAAGGAUGACUGCCCUAUGGGUUGUAAACUUCUUUUAUAAAGGAAUAAAGUGCAGCACGUGUGCUGUUUUGUAUGUACUUUAUGAAUAAGGAUCGGCUAACUCCGUGCCAGCAGCCGCGGUAAUACGGAGGAUCCGAGCGUUAUCCGGAUUUAUUGGGUUUAAAGGGAGCGUAGAUGGAUGUUUAAGUCAGUUGUGAAAGUUUGCGGCUCAACCGUAAAAUUGCAAUUGAUACUGGAUGUCUUGAGUACAGUUGAGGUAGGCGGAAUUCGUGGUGUAGCGGUGAAAUGCUUAGAUAUCACGAAGAACUCCGAUUGCGAAGGCAGCUUACUAAACUGCAACUGACAUUGAGGCUCGAAAGUGUGGGUAUCAAACAGG